rnacentral:rRNA from 1 species
AUACGUAGGAUUCGAGCGUUGUCCGGAUUUACUGGGCGUAAAGGGUGCGUAGGCGGCGCGGUAAGUCUCAUGUGAAAUCUCCCGGCUUAACUGGGAGGGGUCAUGGGAAACUGCCAUGCUCGAGGGCAGCAGAGGAGAGCGGAAUUCCGGGAGUAGCGGUGAUAUGCGUAGAUACCCGGAGGAACACCCGUGGCGAAAGCGGCUCUCUGGGCUGUACCUGACGCUAAGGCACGAAAGCGUGGGGAGCAAACCGGAUUAGAAACCCCGGUAGUCC